GAAAUCCUGGCUCAGGAUGAACGCUGGCGGCGUGCCUAAUACAUGCAAGUCGAGCGAACGGACGAGAAGCUUGCUUCUCUGAUGUUAGCGGCGGACGGGUGAGUAACACGUGGAUAACCUACCUAUAAGACUGGGAUAACUUCGGGAAACCGGAGCUAAUACCGGAUAAUAUUUUGAACCGCAUGGUUCAAAAGUGAAAGACGGUCUUGCUGUCACUUAUAGAUGGAUCCGCGCUGCAUUAGCUAGUUGGUAAGGUAACGGCUUACCAAGGCAACGAUGCAUAGCCGACCUGAGAGGGUGAUCGGCCACACUGGAACUGAGACACGGUCCAGACUCCUACGGGAGGCAGCAGUAGGGAAUCUUCCGCAAUGGGCGAAAGCCUGACGGAGCAACGCCGCGUGAGUGAUGAAGGUCUUCGGAUCGUAAAACUCUGUUAUUAGGGAAGAACAUAUGUGUAAGUAACUGUGCACAUCUUGACGGUACCUAAUCAGAAAGCCACGGCUAACUACGUGCCAGCAGCCGCGGUAAUACGUAGGUGGCAAGCGUUAUCCGGAAUUAUUGGGCGUAAAGCGCGCGUAGGCGGUUUUUUAAGUCUGAUGUGAAAGCCCACGGCUCAACCGUGGAGGGUCAUUGGAAACUGGAAAACUUGAGUGCAGAAGAGGAAAGUGGAAUUCCAUGUGUAGCGGUGAAAUGCGCAGAGAUAUGGAGGAACACCAGUGGCGAAGGCGACUUUCUGGUCUGUAACUGACGCUGAUGUGCGAAAGCGUGGGGAUCAAACAGGAUUAGAUACCCUGGUAGUCCACGCCGUAAACGAUGAGUGCUAAGUGUUAGGGGGUUUCCGCCCCUUAGUGCUGCAGCUAACGCAUUAAGCACUCCGCCUGGGGAGUACGACCGCAAGGUUGAAACUCAAAGGAAUUGACGGGGACCCGCACAAGCGGUGGAGCAUGUGGUUUAAUUCGAAGCAACGCGAAGAACCUUACCAAAUCUUGACAUCCUUUGACAACUCUAGAGAUAGAGCCUUCCCCUUCGGGGGACAAAGUGACAGGUGGUGCAUGGUUGUCGUCAGCUCGUGUCGUGAGAUGUUGGGUUAAGUCCCGCAACGAGCGCAACCCUUAAGCUUAGUUGCCAUCAUUAAGUUGGGCACUCUAAGUUGACUGCCGGUGACAAACCGGAGGAAGGUGGGGAUGACGUCAAAUCAUCAUGCCCCUUAUGAUUUGGGCUACACACGUGCUACAAUGGACAAUACAAAGGGCAGCGAAACCGCGAGGUCAAGCAAAUCCCAUAAAGUUGUUCUCAGUUCGGAUUGUAGUCUGCAACUCGACUACAUGAAGCUGGAAUCGCUAGUAAUCGUAGAUCAGCAUGCUACGGUGAAUACGUUCCCGGGUCUUGUACACACCGCCCGUCACACCACGAGAGUUUGUAACACCCGAAGCCGGUGGAGUAACCUUUUAGGAGCU
rnacentral:rRNA from 1 species